GGGUGGUAAUGCCGGAUGCUCCAGUUGGAUGCAUGUCCUUCUGGGAAAGAUUCAUCGGUAUGGGAUGGGGUCGCGUCCUAUCAGCUUGAUGGCGGGGUAACGGCCCACCAUGGCUUCGACGGGUAGCCGGCCUGAGAGGGCGACCGGCCACAUUGGGACUGAGAUACGGCCCAGACUCCUACGGGAGGCAGCAGUGGGGAAUAUUGCACAAUGGGCGCAAGCCUGAUGCAGCGACGCCGCGUGCGGGAUGACGGCCUUCGGGUUGUAAACCGCUUUUGACUGGGAGCAAGCCCUUCGGGGUGAGUGUACCUUUCGAAUAAGCACCGGCUAACUACGUGCCAGCAGCCGCGGUAAUACGUAGGGUGCAAGCGUUAUCCGGAAUUAUUGGGCGUAAAGGGCUCGUAGGCGGUUCGUCGCGUCCGGUGUGAAAGUCCAUCGCUUAACGGUGGAUCCGCGCCGGGUACGGGCGGGCUUGAGUGCGGUAGGGGAGACUGGAAUUCCCGGUGUAACGGUGGAAUGUGUAGAUAUCGGGAAGAACACCA
rnacentral:rRNA from 1 species